rnacentral:rRNA from 1 species
UGGGGAAUUUUCCGCAAUGGGCGAAAGCCUGACGGAGCAAUACCGCGUGAGGGAAGAAGGCUCUUGGGUUGUAAACCUCUUUUCUUAGGGAAGAAAAAAAUGACGGUACCUAAGGAAUAAGCAUCGGCUAACUCCGUGCCAGCAGCCGCGGUAAUACGGAGGAUGCAAGCGUUAUCCGGAAUGAUUGGGCGUAAAGCGUCCGCAGGUGGCAAGUCAAGUUUGCGGUUAAAGGCUCUGGCUCAACCAGAGACAGGCCGUGAAAACUGACUAGCUAGAGUAUGGUAGGGGCAGAGGGAAUUCCCAGUGUAGCGGUGAAAUGCGUAGAGAUUGGGAAGAACACCGGUGGCGAAAGCGCUCUGCUAGGCCGAAACUGACACUGAGGGACGAAAGCUAGGGGAGCGAAUGGG